rnacentral:rRNA from 1 species
AACGAACGCUGGCGGCAGGCCUAACACAUGCAAGUCGAACGCCGUAGCAAUACGGAGUGGCAGACGGGUGCGUAACGCGUGGGAACAUACCCUUUGGUUCGGAAUAACUCAGGGAAACUUGAGCUAAUACCGGAUACGUCCGAGAGGAGAAAGAUUUAUCGCCGAAGGAUUGGCCCGCGUCUGAUUAGCUAGUUGGUGAGGUAACGGCUCACCAAGGCGACGAUCAGUAGCUGGUCNGAGAGGAUGAUCAGCCACACUGGGACUGAGACACGGCCCAGACUCCUACGGGAGGCAGCAGUGGGGAAUAUUGGACAAUGGGCGCAAGCCUGAUCCAGCCAUGCCGCGUGAGUGAUGAAGGCCUUAGGGUUGUAAAGCUCUUUUACCCGGGAAGAUAAUGACGGUACCGGGAGAAUAAGCCCCGGCUAACUUCGUGCCAGCAGCCGCAGUAAG